rnacentral:rRNA from 1 species
GACGAACGCUGGCGGCGCGCCUAACACAUGCAAGUCGAACGAGCGAGAGAGAGCUUGCUUUCUCGAGCGAGUGGCGAACGGGUGAGUAACGCGUGAGGAACCUGCCUCAAAGAGGGGGACAACAGUUGGAAACGACUGCUAAUACCGCAUAAGCCCACGGCUCGGCAUCGAGCAGGGGGAAAAGGGGCAAUCCGCUUUGAGAUGGCCUCGCGUCCGAUUAGCUAGUUGGUGGGGUAACGGCCCACCAAGGCGACGAUCGGUAGCCGGACUGAGAGGUUGAACGGCCACAUUGGGAAUGAGACACGGCCCAGAAUCCUACGGGAGGCAGCAGUGGGGAAUAUUGCACAAUGGGGGAAACCCUGAUGCAGCGACGCCGGGUGGAGGAAGAAGGUCUUCGGAUUGUAAACUCCUGUUGUUGGGGAAGAUAAUGACGGUACCCAACAAGGAAGUGACGGCUAACUACGUG